rnacentral:rRNA from 1 species
GAUCCUGGCUCAGGAUGAACGCUAGCUACAGGCUUAACACAUGCAAGUCGAGGGGCGAGCAUGGUCUUAGCUUGCUAAGACUGAUGGCGACCGGCGCACGGGUGAGUAACACGUAUCCAACCUGCCGUCUACUCUUGGACAGCCUUCUGAAAGGAAGAUUAAUACAAGAUGGCAUCAUGAGUCCGCAUGUUCACAUGAUUAAAGGUAUUCCGGUGGACGAUGGGG